UACCAUCUACCCUACAAACUGGCACUUACAUGGCAUAAAAUGGGCAAUCCUUUCCCCGCUAAAAGCAACUGCUGUGGCAUGGGGUAAAUCAUGGUCAGGGUCAUCAAUCCAUUGUUACUCAGACAACUAAGCACAUGUCAUAUCAUCAACAAAUGCCACUCAUCAUCCAUACGAUCAUGGUAUUGCUGGGGAACUCACUUGGUUGGCCACUUACCACAUUUAUUUUACUUUCAUG